CAGGAAAAAUGUCAGCUUUGAUAUCGAAGAGGGAAAUGCCAUUGAUCAGGUCAUUUACUUUGUAGACAACGAUCGUACUCGCCCCUUCACUGCCUACUACAACUAUACAGACUACGAUAACUGCAUGAUCAUAAUUGUUCCCUACAACGGCCACGAUCAUUGUAUGCUGUGGGUGAAACGCGCGAUCGCUCAUUCUGUUCCUCAGCACUGCCUGGAGCGCUACGAAGAGAAUUGUGAUGUCAGAGUGCCAACGUUCGAAAACGACCUCUGCAAGGACGACUAAAUAAAGUCAAG